CGUAGGUGGCAAGCGUUGUCCGGAAUUAUUGGGCGUAAAGCGCGCGCAGGUGGUUCCUUAAGUCUGAUGUGAAAGCCCACGGCUCAACCGUGGAGGGUCAUUGGAAACUGGGGAACUUGAGUGCAGAAGAGGAAAGUGGAAUUCCAAGUGUAGCGGUGAAAUGCGUAGAGAUUUGGAGGAACACCAGUGGCGAAGGCGACUUUCUGGUCUGUAACUGACACUGAGGCGCGAAAGCGUGGGGAGCAAACAGGAUUAGAUACCCUGGUAGUCCACGCCGUAAACGAUGAGUGCUAAGUGUUAGAGGGUUUCCGCCCUUUAGUGCUGCAGCUAACGCAUUAAGCACUCCGCCUGGGGAGUACGGCCGCAAGGCUG
rnacentral:rRNA from 1 species